rnacentral:rRNA from 1 species
GUGGGGAAUCUUCCGCAAUGGACGAAAGUCUGACGGAGCAACGCCGCGUGAGUGAAGAAGGUUUUCGGAUCGUAAAGCUCUUUCGUUAGGGACGAACGUGCUCUUUGUGAAUAAUGAGGAGUAAUGACGGUACCUAAAUAAGAAGCCACGGCUAACUACGUGCCAGUAGCCGCGGUAAUACGUAGGUGGCAAGCGUUGUCCGGAAUUAUUGGGCGUAAAGCGCGCGCAGGCGGGAUAUCAAGUCUGUCUUAAAAGUGCGAGGCUCAACCUCGUGAGGGGACAGAAACUGGUAUUCUUGAGUGUCGGAGAGGAAAGUGGAAUUCCAAGUGUAGCGGUGAAAUGCGUAGAGAUUUGGAAGAACACCAGUGGCGAAGGCGACUUUCUGGACGAUGUCUGACGCUGAGGCGCGAAAGCUAGGGGAGCGAACGGGAUUAGAAACCCUGGUAGUCC